GGCAUAGCUCAGUGGUAGAGUGCAUGCUUAGAAUGCACAAGGUCCUGGGUUCAAGCCCCAGAACUGCCA
rnacentral:tRNA from 1 species